rnacentral:lncRNA from 1 species
AGAUGGUGGGUUAUAAGAGAAUGCAAUGGAAAACUUUCCAAUUAGGGCUAUAAUCUUUUUUUUUUUUCCUAAAAAUCAACUCAGGCAUUCAUGAGAUUGCUAUGUAGUACAGAUAUAAAAUAUGUAAAUGUGAUAUUGUUAAUGACUGUCUUUUUAAUUAAUCUUUUUAUUGUGAAACAAUUGUACACUAACGUGUAGUUUAAGAAAUAAUUUGGAGAAAUCCUAUGUGCCCUUUCCUCCAUCCCCCAUGAUAUUUGAGAAAACUAGAUCAGUAUGACAAUCAUGAUGUCAACAUUCAUACAUUCAAGUCACAGAGCUUUCCUGUCACUACAACGGUCCCUCCUGUUGCCCUUUUAUAACCAAACCCACUUCAUUCCCAUUCCCAACAUUCUCCAUAAGCAUAGGCCUUUCCAUAAUUUUGUCACUACAAAAGAUGUUAUGUAAAUGGAAUCACACAGUAUGUAACAUUUUGGGAUUGGCUUUUUCCACUCAACAUAAACCUCAGAAGGUUUAUCUAAGUUAUUAGGUAUGUCAACAGUUCAUUCCUUUUUUUUUUUUUUCAACUGAGUAGUAUUUCAUAGUAAGCGUAUACAAGAGUUUAUUUUACCAUUCACCUGUUGAAGAAUAUCUGGAUGGUUUCCAGUUUGACGAUGAUUGCGAAAAGCGUUCAUGGACAGAUUUUUGUGGGAACAUAAGAUUUCAUUUCAUUGCUCCCAAGUGCAGUGGCUAAAUUAUAUAGUGGUUGCAUACAUGUCUUUUUCCCUAUUUUUAUUGAGAUAUAAUUGACAUAUAACAUUGUGUGAGUUUAAAGUGUCCAGUGUGAUGAUUUGAUACACAUACGCACUGAAAUGGUUCCCACAACAAAGAGAGUUACCACAUGCUUCAUCUCGAAUAACAUGGUCAUUAUUUUGUCAUUGUUGUUAUGGUAAAAACAUUUAAGAACCAGUCUUUAGCAACAUUUAAAUAUAUAAUACUAAUAUAUAUUCCAUAAUUCUAUAAUAUAUAGAAUUGUUAGCUAUAGCCAUCAUGUUGCACAUGAGAUCCCCAGAACUUACUCAACUUAUAGUAGAACGUUUGUAUCUUUUGACCACUGUAUCCUCAUUACUCCCACCUGCCAUCCUUGGUAACAAUCUACUAUUUUUAUAUGAGUUCAUUGUUUUUAGAUGCCACAUAUAAAUGAAGUUAUAUAGUAUUUGUCUUUCUCUAUCUUAACUUAUUUCACUUAACCCAUGGAUUAAAUGGCAGGAUUUCCUUCUUUUUUAUGACUGAAUAAUAUUUCAUUAUAUAUACACACACGCGCACACACACACACACACACACACGCUAUCUAUCUAUCUACCAUUUUUCUUUACCAUUCAUUAUUGACACAUGUUUUUUCCAUAUCUUCAUUAUUAUGAAUAAUGCUGCAGUGAAUAUGGGAGUGCAGGUAUCCUUUCAAGGUGGUAAUUUCAUUUCCUUUCUAUAUAUACCCAGAUGUGGGUAGCUGGAUCAUAUAGUAGUUCUAUUUUUAACUUUUUGAGCAACAUCCAUGCUAUUUUCCAUAGUGGCAAUACAAGUUUCCAUCCCCACCAACAGUGUACCAGGAUUCAUUUUCUCCACAUCCUCACCAGCAUUUGUUAUCUCAUCUUGUUGAUAAUAGCUGGUCUAGCAGAUAUGAGUUGAUAUCCAUUGUGGUUUUAAUUUGCAGAGCGAUGGGUUCCCAUUGUGGCACAGUGGAAAUGAAUCCAACUAGUAACCAUGAGGUUGGGGAUUUGAUCCCUGGCCUCGCUCACUGGGUUAAGAAUCCAACAUUGCAUGAGCUGUGGUGUAGGUUGCAGACAUGGCUUGGAUCCUGCAUUGCUGUGGCUGUGGUAUAGGCCAGUAGCUGUAGCUUGGAUUCAACCCCUAGCCUGGGAACUUCCAUAUGCCAUGGUGCAGCCCUAAAAAGCAAAACAGAAAGGAGGGAGGGAGGGAAGGAAGGGAGGAGGGAAGGAAGGGAGGAAGGAAGGAAGGAAGGAAGGAAGGAAGGAAGGAAGGAAGGAAGGGAGAAAGAAUGGAAGGGAGAAAAAGAAAGGAAGGAAGGAAAGAGAAAGAAAGAAAGAAAAAGAAAGAAAGAAAGAAAGAAAGAAAGAAAGAAAGAAAGA